rnacentral:lncRNA from 1 species
AAGAAUUAAGUGAAGACUGAUGGAUUUUUGAUUUUCUUUAGUUCCUAUGACCAUGGAAAAAUUUUUGCAUUUUUGGACAAAAUUCUGCUUUUAUAACAUUUCUGGACCCAGAAUUCUGCAAAUUGUUCUUAUUUCAACAGAUAAUUAACAUAUACUGAUUCUGCUGUGAAUAUUAAUUGACUGACCAUUCUAUUUUGUUCAGACUCUCUGUUAAUCACUAGUACACAUCAUUAAAAUAUAAAGAACCAAGUGAUAUUUUUGUCUUCAUUGUUAUUGAUUUGAUUUUUCUAUGGGAAAACUCUUAGUAUACAGCAGUGGUUCUCAACCUUCCUAUUGGCACGACCCUUUAUACAGUUCCUCAUGUUGUGGUGACCCCCAACCAUAAAUUAUUUUCAUUGCUACUUCAUAACUGUAAUUUUGCUAUUGUUAUAAAUCGUAAUUUAAAUAUCUGAUAUGCAGGAUUUAUUUUCAUUGUUACAUAUUGAACAUAAUUAAAGCAUAGUGAUUAAUCACAAAAACAAUAUGUAAUUAUAUAUUGUGAAAUA